rnacentral:rRNA from 1 species
AUUGAACGCUGGCGGCAGGCCUAACACAUGCAAGUCGAACGAGUGGCGGACGGGUGUGUAAUGUCUGGGACACUGCCUGAUGGCGGGGGAUAACUACUGGAAACGGUAGCUAAUACCGCAUACCAUCGGAUUUGCCCAGAUGGGAUUGGCUAGUAGGUGGGGUAACGGCUCACCUAGGCCACGAUCCCUAGCUGGUAUGCGAGGAUGACCGGCCACACUGGAACUGAGACACGGUCCAGACUCCUACGGGAGGCAGCAGUGGGGAAUAUUGCACAAUGGGCGAAAGCCUGAUGCAGCCAUGCCGCGUGUAUGAAGAAGGCCUUCGGGUUGUAAAGUACUGUCAGCGGGGAGGCGGUACCCGCAGAGGAAGCAACGGCUAACUCCGUGCCAGCAGCCGCGGUAAUAC